AACGAACGCUGGCGGCAUGCCUAACACAUGCAAGUCGAACGAGACCUUCGGGUCUAGUGGCGCACGGGUGCGUAACGCGUGGGAACCUGCCCUUAGGUUCGGAAUAACUCCCCGAAAGGGGUGCUAAUACCGGAUAAUGUCUUCGGACCAAAGAUUUAUCGCUGUUGGAUGGGCGCGCGUUGGAUUAGCGAGUUGGUAGGGUAAAAGCCUACUAAGGCGACGAUCCAUAGCUGGUCUGAGAGGAUGAUCAGCCACACUGGGACUGAGACACGGCCCAGAAUCCUACGGGACGCAGCAGUGGGGAAUAUUGGACAAUGGGCGAAAGCCUGAUCCAGCAAUGCGGCGGAAGUGAUGAAGGCCGUAGGGUUGUAAAGCUCUUUUACCCGGGAUGAUAAUGACAGUACCGGGAGAAUAAGCUCCGGCUAACUCCGUG
rnacentral:rRNA from 1 species